AGCAGCCCAGAGUCUGAAUCAGCUUGUGUGUUAGUGGAACGGUCUGGAAAGUCCGACGGUACAGGGUGAUAGUCCCGUACACCAAAAUGCACAGGUUGUGAACUCGAAGAGUAGGGCGGGACACGUGGUAUCCUGUCUGAAUAUGGGGGGACCAUCCUCCAAGGCUAAAUACUCCUGACUGACCGAUAGUGAACCAGUACCGUGAGGGAAAGGCGAAAAGAACCCCGGCGAGGGGAGUGAAAAAGAACCUGAAACCGUGUACGUACAAGCAGUGGGAGCACCUUCGGGUGUGACUGCGUACCUUUUGUAUAAUGGGUCAGCGACUUAUAUUCUGUAGCAAGGUUAACCGUAUAGGGGAGCCGCAGGGAAACCGAGUCUUAACUGGGCGUUAAGUUGCAGGGUAUAGACCCGAAACCCGGUGAUCUAGCCAUGGGCAGGUUGAAGGUUGGGUAACACUAACUGGAGGACCGAACCGACUAAUGUUGAAAAAUUAGCGGAUGACUUGUGGCUGGGGGUGAAAGGCCAAUCAAACCGGGAGAUAGCUGGUUCUCCCCGAAAGCUAUUUAGGUAGCGCCUCGUGAACUCAUCUUCGGGGGUAGAGCACUGUUUCGGCUAGGGGGUCAUCCCGACUUACCAACCCGAUGCAAACUACGAAUACCGAAGAAUGUUAUCACGGGAGACACACGGCGGGUGCUAACGUCCGUCGUGAAGAGGGAAACAACCCAGACCGCCAGCUAAGGUCCCAAAGUCAUGGUUAAGUGGGAAACGAUGUGGGAAGGCACAGACAGCCAGGAUGUUGGCUUAGAAGCAGCCAUCAUUUAAAGAAAGCGUAAUAGCUCACUGGUCGAGUCGGCCUGCGCGGAAGAUGUAACGGGGCUAAACCAUGCACCGAAGCUGCGGCAGCGACACUAUGUGUUGUUGGGUAGGGGAGCGUUCUGUAAGCCUGCGAAGGUGACCUGUGAGGGUUGCUGGAGGUAUCAGAAGUGCGAAUGCUGACAUAAGUAACGAUAAAGCGGGUGAAAAGCCCGCUCGCCGGAAGACCAAGGGUUCCUGUCCAACGUUAAUCGGGGCAGGGUGAGUCGACCCCUAAGGCGAGGCCGAAAGGCGUAGUCGAUGGGAAACAGGUUAAUAUUCCUGUACUUGGUGUUACUGCGAAGGGGGGACGGAGAAGGCUAUGUUAGCCGGGCGACGGUUGUCCCGGUUUAAGCAUGUAGGC
rnacentral:rRNA from 1 species